GCGGGAGUGGUGAAAUUGGCAGACACGCAGGAUUUAGGUUCCUGUGCCUCAGGGCGUGUGGGUUCAAGUCCCACCUUCCGCA
rnacentral:tRNA from 1 species